rnacentral:snRNA from 1 species
GUGCUCACUUGGGCAGCACAUAUACUAAAAUUGGAAUGAUACAGAGAAGAUUAGCAUGGCCCCUGUGCAAGGAUGACAUGCAAAUUCGUGAAGCGUUCCAUAUUUUU